rnacentral:rRNA from 1 species
AAGCAUGGGUCUCCGUUUGGUGAACAGCGGAGGGAUCAUUACCGAAGUUUACAACUCCCAAACCCCUGUGAACAUACCUUAAUGUUGCCUCGGCGGAUCAGCCCGCGCCCCGUAAAACGGGACGGCCCGCCAGAGGACCCAAACUCUAAUGUUUCUUAUUGUAACUUCUGAGUAAAACAAACAAAUAAAUCAAAACUUUCAACAACGGAUCUCUUGGUUCUGGCAUCGAUGAAGAACGCAGCAAAAUGCGAUAAGUAAUGUGAAUUGCAGAAUUCAGUGAAUCAUCGAAUCUUUGAACGCACAUUGCGCCCGCUGGUAUUCCGGCGGGCAUGCCUGUUCGAGCGUCAUUUCAACCCUCAAGCCCCCGGGUUUGGUGUUGGGGAUCGGCUCUGCCUUCUGGCGGUGCCGCCCCCGAAAUACAUUGGCGGUCUCGCUGCAGCCUCCAUUGCGUAGUAGCUAACACCUCGCAACUGGAACGCGGCGCGGCCAUGCCGUAAAACCCCAACUUCUGAAUGUUGACCUCGGAUCAGGUAGGAAUACCCGCUGAACUUAAGCAUAUAAAGG